rfam:Lachnoclostridium sp. An14 An14_contig_83, whole genome shotgun sequence.
UCCGGUGGUGAUGCGCUUAGGGGAGACACCCGUACCCAUCCCGAACACGACGGUUAAGACUUAAGCGGCCGAUGGUACUAUGCUGGAGACGGCAUGGGAGAGCAGGUGGCUGCCGGAU